rnacentral:rRNA from 1 species
AAUGAACGCUAGCGGCAGGCCUAAUACAUGCAAGUCGAACGGUGUAGCAAUACACAGUGGCGCACGGGUGCGUAACACGUAUGCAACCUACCUUACAUUGGGGGAUAGCCUUUCGAAAGGGAGAUUAAUACCGCAUAAGACAGUAACUGGGCAUCCAGUAGCUGUUAAAGAUUUAUCGAUGUAAGCUGGGCAUGCGUCCAAUUAGUUAGUUGGCGGGGUAAUGGCUCACCAAGACGAUGAUUGGUAGGGGAACUGAGAGGUCAAUCCCCCACACUGGCAGUGGGAUACUGGCCAGACUACUACGGGAGGCAGCAGUAGGGAAUAUUGGGCAAUGGGCGCAAGCCUGACCCAGCCAUGCCGCGUGCAGGAAGAAGGCGUUAUGCGUUGUAAACUGCUUUUAUACAGGGAGAAACGACCCUUGCGAGGGGCAUUGACGGUACUGUAUGAAUAAGCUCCGGCUAACUCCGUGCCAGCAGCCGCGGUAACAC